AAAUAUAUGGAGAAACGUAGAGAUAGAGAAACAUAAAACUACUUAAGAAAAUGGGAAGCAAGGAAGUCAUGAAGAAGAAGAAGAAGAAAAACCUUAUGGAAAGCAACAGUCGUCCAAACACUCAAGUGAACGGCGGUUGACGGAGGUUAAAUUUCAGCAGUCUUGGCUCCGACGACUAGCAAGGAGGUGAGAGAGCCUACGGUACAAAUGUGGCGGCCACCGGAAAAGAGUACAAGACAACAACGAUCUUAAGUCUUAACAGGCAGCGUUCUCCGCUAGUUGGUGGGGACUAUUUGGUGCCACAACUCCUCAUUUGAAAGAUUGUAAUGAGGAUUCUUUCUUUGAUUAGUAGUUCAUCAGGUUGUGAAAGGAAUUGGAACAAGUUUGAAGGGAUUAGUAAUAUAAAGUAUUAAAUUUAUAUUUUAUAAAAUUUAAAUAUUAAGCACAUUUCAACUCUUUGUUGUGUUUACAAUUCUAGGUACAUACAAAAAAACGGAAUAGAUUGGAGGCAAGCAAAUUGAACAAUCUUAUUUAUGUUCAAUUCAAUGCUAAUUUAAUGGAAAAAGAAAACAAAAGCGAAAAGAUAGAAAUAUGGAGGUGUUGUUAGCAAAUGAUUCACUCUCGGCUCAAGAAUGGAUUGUUGAUGUAGAUGAAGUAGACCCCAAAAUGGUUAAUGAAGAUCUAGGAACUGUUGAUAAUCAAGCACCUCGAGAAAGUCCAAGAACGAGGGAAAUUUCUGAUAAAGAUUUUAAGUCCUAGAGUGAAGAGUAAGUGUUAGAAGAAGACGAAUAUGAGUCGGAUGGGGUUCAAAUAAUGGAAGUUUGUGGAGAGGAUUAUGAGAUAAUAUGUUUUAUUUUUGUUCUAUUUAAACUUAUUAUGAACUUUUUGGAUUAAGAUUUGGUGUGUUUAUUGAACUUAUUAUUAACCUUU